rnacentral:misc_RNA from 1 species
GAAAUGCGAUAAGUAAUGUGAAUUGCAGAAUUCAGUGAAUCAUCGAAUCUUUGAACGCACCUUGCGCUCCUUGGUAUUCCUUGGAGCAUGCCUGUUUGAGUACCAUGAAAUCUUCAAAGUAAAUCUUUUGUUAACUCAAUUGGUUUCUACUUUGGUAUUGGAGGUCUUUGCAGCUUCACACCUGCUCCUCUUUGUUCAUUAGCUGGAUCUCAGUGUUAUGCUUGGUUCCACUCGGCGUGAUAAGUUAUCUAUCGCUGAGGACACUGUAAAAGGUGGCCAAGGUAAAUGCAGAUGAACCGCUUCUAAUAGUCCAUUGACUUGGACAAUACUUUUAUGAUCUGAUCUCAAAUCAGGUAGGACUACCCGCUGAACUUAAGC